CGAAGUAUAGCAUAUCCAAUGCCUUUUACCUACACUAAAAAUAAAACUAACAGUUUACUUCGCUG
rnacentral:tRNA from 1 species